UACGAAGGGGGCGAGCGUUGUUCGGAUUUACUGGGCGUAAAGGGCGCGCAGGCGGCUUAUUUUGUCAGGCGUGAAAGCCCCGGGCUUAACCUGGGAACUGCGUUUGAUACGGAUGGGCUAGAGUUCGGGAGAGGAGAGUGGAAUUCCCAGUGUAGAGGUGAAAUUCGUAGAUAUUCGGAAGAACACCAGUGGCGAAGGCGACUCGCUGGACAAGUAUUGACGCUGAGGUGCGAAAGCGUGGGGAGCAAACAGG
rnacentral:rRNA from 1 species